rnacentral:ribozyme from 12 species
UCUUUCAUCGAAGAAAGUCCAAACAGACACGCACUGUGGUCAAGGUUGUGUUUCGAACUGGACAGCAAUUUGAAAGCUAUGGUGGAACCUAUGCAAUCAGCGGUUGGCAAUUGCCCUGACAGAUAUAAUA